AGAAAACAGAUCUCAAUUUCAAAUAGACCUUGAUUAUGCAAAAAUACAUUAAUGGGAUCAGAACGGUCAAUUCAAUCAAAAAGUAAUGUCACAACAUCAUAAUGAUAAAUCAAAGGCUGAAGAACUGCCGACCCUGUCUAAGUCUUCUACCAAUCUUCUCUUUGCUGACUUAGUUCUGUAACACCAAACCUCAAAAGCUUCACUCAAGUCAGGAUACGUAACCUGGUCCGCAUUCAUCCAAUCAGCCAAAAUAUUAGCUUG
rnacentral:misc_RNA from 1 species